rnacentral:rRNA from 1 species
CCUACGGGCGGCUGCAGUGAGGAAUAUUGGUCAAUGGCCGGGAGGCUGAACCAGCCAAGUCGCGUGAGGGAAGACGGCCCUACGGGUUGUAAACCUCUUUUGUCAGGGAGCAAGGUGCAGGUCGGGACCUGCUGUGAGAGUACCUGAAGAAAAAGCAUCGGCUAACCCCGUGCCAGCAGCCGCGGUACUACGGAGGAUGCGAGCGUUAUCCGGAUUUAUUGGGUUUAAAGGGUGCGCAGGCGGAGGCAAAAGUCAGCGGUAAAAUCGCGGGGCUCAACCCCGCUCCGCCGUUGAAACUGGGGAUCUAGAGUGUGCGAGAGGUAUGCGGAAUGCGUGGUGUAGCGGUGAAAUGCAUAGAUAUCACGCAGAACCCCGAUUGCGAAGGCAGCAUACCGGUGCACAACUGACGCUCAGGCACGAAAGCGUGGGUAUCGAACAGGAUUAGAUACCCCAGUAGUC